CCUACGGGAGGCAGCAGUGGGGAAUAUUGGACAAUGGGGGGAACCCUGAUCCAGCCAUGCCGCGUGUGUGAAGAAGGCCCUCGGGUUGUAAAGCACUUUCAGUGAGGAAGAACGCCUGGUGGUUAAUACCCAUCAGGAAAGACAUCACUCACAGAAGAAGCACCGGCUAACUCCGUGCCAGCAGCCGCGGUAAUACGGAGGGUGCGAGCGUUAAUCGGAAUUACUGGGCGUAAAGCGCGCGUAGGUGGCUUGAUAAGUCGGUUGUGAAAGCCCCGGGCUCAACCUGGGAACGGCAUCCGGAACUGUCAAGCUAGAGUGCAGGAGAGGAAGGUAGAAUUCCCGGUGUAGCGGUGAAAUGCGUAGAGAUCGGGAGGAAUACCAGUGGCGAAGGCGGCCUUCUGGACUGACACUGACACUGAGGUGCGAAAGCGUGGGUAGCAAACAGGAUUAGAUACCCCUGUAGUC
rnacentral:rRNA from 1 species